rnacentral:lncRNA from 1 species
UGACGACAUCUUGCCGAACCUCUCUGGCGGCCGAGCCUCCGCAACACUCCCAAGUUCUGCCGAUGGAUAAACCCCCACCAGCAUCGACAGGAUUCUUCGUGACGGACGGACUCCACCCAAGUUUUCACGGUGAUCGACCACCUUCUAGACUUCGCCCGGACUCCUACGGGAGCCGGACUUCAUCCCCGACUCUGGCUGCAGGAAGACUUCGCCC